AGAGUUUGAUCAUGGCUCAGAUUGAACGCUGGCGGCAGGCCUAACACAUGCAAGUCGAACGGUAACAGGAAGCAGCUUGCUGCUUCGCUGACGAGUGGCGGACGGGUGAGUAAUGUCUGGGAAACUGCCUGAUGGAGGGGGAUAACUACUGGAAACGGUGGCUAAUACCGCAUAACGUCGCAAGACCAAAGAGGGGGACCUUCGGGCCUCUUGCCAUCAGAUGUGCCCAGAUGGGAUUAGCUUGUUGGUGAGGUAACGGCUCACCAAGGCGACGAUCCCUAGCUGGUCUGAGAGGAUGACCAGCCACACUGGAACUGAGACACGGUCCAGACUCCUACGGGAGGCAGCAGUGGGGAAUAUUGCACAAUGGGCGCAAGCCUGAUGCAGCCAUGCCGCGUGUAUGAAGAAGGCCUUCGGGUUGUAAAGUACUUUCAGCGGGGAGGAAGGUGUUGUGGUUAAUAACCGCAGCAAUUGACGUUACCCGCAGAAGAAGCACCGGCUAACUCCGUGCCAGCAGCCGCGGUAAUACGGAGGGUGCAAGCGUUAAUCGGAAUUACUGGGCGUAAAGCGCACGCAGGCGGUCUGUCAAGUCGGAUGUGAAAUCCCCGGGCUCAACCUGGGAACUGCAUUCGAAACUGGCAGGCUUGAGUCUUGUAGAGGGGGGUAGAAUUCCAGGUGUAGCGGUGAAAUGCGUAGAGAUCUGGAGGAAUACCGGUGGCGAAGGCGGCCCCCUGGACAAAGACUGACGCUCAGGUGCGAAAGCGUGGGGAGCAAACAGGAUUAGAUACCCUGGUAGUCCACGCCGUAAACGAUGUCUACUUGGAGGUUGUGCCCUUGAGGCGUGGCUUCCGGAGCUAACGCGUUAAGUAGACCGCCUGGGGAGUACGGCCGCAAGGUUAAAACUCAAAUGAAUUGACGGGGGCCCGCACAAGCGGUGGAGCAUGUGGUUUAAUUCGAUGCAACGCGAAGAACCUUACCUGGUCUUGACAUCCACGGAAGAAUUCAGAGAUGGAUUUGUGCCUUCGGGAACCGUGAGACAGGUGCUGCAUGGCUGUCGUCAGCUCGUGUUGUGAAAUGUUGGGUUAAGUCCCGCAACGAGCGCAACCCUUAUCCUUUGUUGCCAGCG
rnacentral:rRNA from 1 species